rnacentral:tRNA from 1 species
CAAGUUAUUCUUUAAGUUAAGGUUUUCAUUUACAUUGAAAAAUAUUUUCGUGCAAUUCGAUAUAGCUUGA